CUCCACUCGUUGUUAAAAGCAAUUCCUUCUGCAAUUUCCAGAUGCCUCAGAGGAAAUGUUUGCUUCUUUCGGUCCUUAACAGUCAGGAUGUCAGGUGGUGUAUUGCUGUAUUGGUUGUGCAGAACCUUCACAUGGACAUUGACAGGGGUUGAAUCCUCCCCAACAAAACACAGACACAAGCUUGAGAAACGCGGCACUACUGUGCCAUUAAUGCCUCGGUACCGGUGCUACAACGGUACUAUGGAGGGGAGGACACCCGCCCGGACUUCAGGCUGGGCACAGACGCCAUGCAGCACCUGAUGGUGGUCCUGAAGACUGACAGGCAGCACGGGUGGGGGCCGACCCUGGAGACACUCGUGUUCCUGUUCUGGCUGGCCACCGGUUCAGCCUACCGAGUUGUCUCCAGGGUCUUCUGUAUGCCUCUACCUACGGUGGUGACGGCGUGUGUAAUUUUACACAACAUUUGUGUUGGUGUUGGGGAUGAGCUGGAAGAGGCUGUGGAGGACAAUGACAACCAGCUACCUCUGGAGCGCGAUGGUGGGGAGAGCCGGAGUGGAGCUGCUUGGCGAGCCGCGCUGACCAACGAGGUGUCUGCAUUUCAUGAGGCACCUCUGGAUCUCGAAUAUUUUUCCCAGUCUUGAAGCAGCUGUAGCUGAUGGUCGCUUCUUGUUGUUGGUCUUGUUGUAUAUAGUUGUAGAUAUGAGAAUGUUAUGAGAAUGAUGUUUGAAUGGUUUUGCUUCAUGUAAAUAGUU
ensembl:lncRNA